GGGUGGUAGAAUGCCUCGCGGGAGAUGUUCAUUCACACCAUGUCGUAUAACAGUUCUCUCGAAGGCGAUCAAUCUAUAUGCAAAACAAAUGGCCUUCUGAUGUUAGGCCGACAAAAGAUCUCUCAACGUUAUGACACCGGCCUUUUCCUUUGAUAGCGAUAUGUCCUUCUGGACAACUGUGAGAGAAAACUCCUGGCUCCCGGGAUUCGAAUCCCGGCCGCCAGAUUACAAAACAAGCGUUAACCCAUAGGCCGAAAAGGUCUUUCACCCCUUUCUACUACAAUGUCGCUGUUGGCCCGGUCAAAAGGCGGGAAAAACUUAACACCCCGUUCAAGAAGAUGUAUACUAAAGACCAAUUAUUUGCUCUGUGUGUAUGUCUUCCUUUCUUGUAUCGACAAUAAAUUGAUGUAUCACUCAGUUAGGAAACGAGUUAUCUGCUUUUUAACCUUUCUUACGUUCGUCUGAUUUAAUAGGGUAUUUUGAAAGCAGUGUAUAAGUGUCACUUUUAUACUUGUAUGAAUUUGAAAAAUCUACGCAUCCUCUCUGUAAGUGAUUUUUGCUGUUUCUUGACAUGACCACCAUCCAUGCGUUAUCUUGACAAAUAUUCAGCAAUGUGUAUCAGUGUGUAGACAUGAAUACAGGGCCGCGGUCGGCACCCCGCCGUGCCUUGGGCGGGGCAAAUUCCCCUGACAACGCGGACAAAAGCAUAGCAACCGUACCACCGUGACAUGUCACGAGAUAACAUCGUGAGGACCAGGUCGCCGCUGUAAUUAUAACCAUAUGGACAGGGGUCGGGUUGGCCUGGCCGUGUGACGUGGCAGUCAAGACAGGACACGACGCGAGAGAGGACGUGGAUGUUUACAGAGUAAAGUACAGCGUAGAGUACAGAGGGCUGGGAAACAGAAUGAAGUUGAUCAGUUUAACAAGUAUAUGGCUGUCACCCGUAUUUGAACGCGCACGUGACAUUCUGGUAGUACUGCUGGGCUGGAGUUCAACCAAGAUAGAGACGGGAACAGAGAGAUCGAGAGAACUGAGGACGUGGCAAGGCUACUGGGCCUGUGAUGGGUGGCGCACGGGGCAGGGAGGAAGAAAGAACACAUAAAGAUGCCCGCCGAUCCCUGACCCUGAAGAGAACGCCAGCCCGGAGAAAUCUUCCAUACUACUGUAUUGACACUCGGGGAGCGGGGCAAGAUGCGGGAAAGAGAUCUCAAGACUACUCGUAAGAAGGAAAGUUACAACGCCGCAGGGGUACGUACUUGACGAUUACGUCAGACGAUGGUGGUUCCAGUAGGUCAAUCUACGAAGCAGCUGCGGGUAAACGUCUUUCAGUAUGUCGUCAACCAGCUCCUGAGAUGAACAUUAGCUAACUGUGACGACCAUCCAUGUGGUGACUUAGUCCAUGCAGAACACCAACAGACGUGCAGCGAUAGUAGCAAAUUUAUGAGGGUGACUUUACAAUAAUCCAUUAUUGCUAGCAUCACUAUUAUUAUAGUAUACACAGCGGGUAAAACUGUGUUCUCUCGUGAUCUAACGCACAGGCCAACCUACCGUAUAUAUAUUAUGUCCAUCAGAACGACACAUUCCCGCCACACCCAACAUAGAGACUCUUACCGCCACAAGGGAAGUAGGUCGAGUCCCUUCACGAAAAGUGGCCAUCGCUGAGAGGAGCCAGAAUAUACGUUUGUGCGGCUUGAACAUUCUUAACAGAAGGGAGCCACACAACAUCCAGAACAGCGCCAUCGACAGAAGGAAGGCACUGUGAGGGAAGUAGAGGCCAGUAGCAGAGCCAAGACGUACAGCCGAUAGUUGUGAUCAUACUUGUCCAUGUAUAGAAAACCUGACAUGACACCAGUUAUAGAAUUCACCGAUUGACUGACUGUUUAUAUCACGAAUAUGUAUUUUAGUGUAUACAUUGUAGUAGUUGAUUUUACAUGUAUAUGAAUGGACCGUAGAUGAAAUAACCGUUGUUUUGUGGUUUGACAAGACCUGUCUGUUUGAUACGCCAAAAUGUGACCACGAGAUAUAAUGUAUUUGUAUGACAGAUAGACAGAGGGUAGAGAUCAGAAGAGAAAUAAAGAUCCUCAGCUAAGACCGAGGUUAGCGAGGUCAGCAUUACUAGUAUAUAGUAACGUCAAACCACCUUAACAGUCUCCCGUGCCCAGUGUACGGAAAACCUUG